CGGGAUGUAGUAUAAUGGCAGUAUCUGCCCUUCGGGAGGGCAUGACCCGGGUUCGAUUCCCGGCAUCCCGACAA
rnacentral:tRNA from 1 species